rnacentral:rRNA from 1 species
UACGGGGGGGGCAAGCGUUGUUCGGAAUUACUGGGCGUAAAGGGCUCGUAGGCGGCCAACUAAGUCAGACGUGAAAUCCCUCGGCUUAACCGGGGAACUGCGUCUGAUACUGGAUGGCUCGAGUUUGGGAGAGGGAUGCGGAAUUCCAGGUGUAGCGGUGAAAUGCGUAGAUAUCUGGAGGAACACCGGUGGCGAAGGCGGGUCUCUGGGCCGUAACUGACGCUGAGGAGCGAAAGCGUGGGGAGCGAACAGG